rnacentral:rRNA from 1 species
CAAGGAAUUUUCCCCAAUGGGCGCAAGCCUGAGGGAGCAACGCCGCGUGCAGGACGACGGCCUUCGGGUUGUAAACUGCUUUUGCGUGGGACGAUAACGACGGUACCACGCGAAUCAGCCCCGGCUAACUCUGUGCCAGCAGCCGCGGUAAUACGGAGGGAGCUAGCGUUGUUCGGAAUUACUGGGCGUAAAGCGCGCGUAGGCGGCUAUCCAAGUCAGGGGUGAAAUCCCGGGGCUCAACCCCGGAACUGCCCUUGAAACUAGGUAGCUAGAAUACUGGAGAGGUGAGUGGAAUUCCGAGUGUAGAGGUGAAAUUCGUAGAUAUUCGGAAGAACACCAGUGGCGAAGGCGACUCACUGGACAGUUAUUGACGCUGAGGUGCGAAAGCGUGGGGAGCAAACAGGAUUAGAUACCCCCGUAGUCC